GAGCGCGUAGCUCAGGGGUAGAGCGUCCGACUUUUAAUCGGCAGGUCCCGGGUUCGAUCCCCGGCGCGCUCACCA
rnacentral:tRNA from 1 species